rnacentral:rRNA from 1 species
UUAAGUUAAGGGCGCACGGUGGAUGCCUUGGCACUAGAAGCCGACGAAGGACGUUACUAACGACGAUAUGCUUUGGGGAGCUGUAAGUAAGCUUUGAUCCAGAGAUUUCGAAUGGGGAAACCCAGCACGAGUUAUGUCGUGUUAUCUGCAUGUGAAUACAUAGCAUGCAAGAAGGCAGACCCGAGAACUGAAACAUCUUAGUACCCGGAGGAAGAGAAAGAAAAUCGAUUCCUGAGUAGCGGCGAGCGAAACGGAAGAGCCCAAACCAAUAAGCUUGCUUAUUGGGGUUGUGGACACUCUGUACGGAGUUACAAAAGAAUUUGUUAGACGAAUAACCUGAAAGGUUAAUCAUAGAAGGUAAUAAUCCUGUAGUCGAAAACGAAUUCUCUUGAGUGGAUCCUGAGUACGACGGAGCACGUGAAAUUCCGUCGGAAUCUGGGAGGACCAUCUCCUAAGGCUAAAUACUCUAGUGACCGAUAGUGAACCAGUACCGUGAGGGAAAGGUGAAAAGUACCGGAAGGGGAGGAAAGAGAACUUGAAACCGUGUGCUUACAAGUAGUCAGAGCCCGUUAAUGGGUGAUGGCGUGCCUUUUGUAGAAUGAACCGGCGAGUUACGAUCUGAUGCAAGGUUAAGCAGAAAAUGUGGAGCCGUAGCGAAAGCGAGUCUGAAUAGGGCGAAUGAGUAUUUGGUCGUAGACCCGAAACCAGGUGAUCUACCCUUGGUCAGGUUGAAGUUCAGGUAACACUGAAUGGAGGACCGAACCGACUUACGUUGAAAAGUGAGCGGAUGAACUGAGGGUAGCGGAGAAAUUCCAAUCGAACUUGGAGAUAGCUGGUUCUCUCCGAAAUAGCUUUAGGGCUAGCCUCAAGUGAUGAUUAUUGGAGGUAGAGCACUGUUUGGACGAGGGGCCCCUCUCGGGUUACCGAAUUCAGACAAACUCCGAAUGCCAAAUAAUUUAACUUGGGAGUCAGAAUGUGGGUGAUAAGGUCCAUAUUCGAAAGGGAAACAGCCCAGACCACCAGCUAAGGUCCCAAAAUAUAUGUUAAGUGGAAAAGGAUGUGGCGUUGCCCAGACAACUAGGAUGUUGGCUUAGAAGCAGCCAUCAUUUAAAGAGUGCGUAAUAGCUCACUAGUCGAGUGACACUGCGCCGAAAAUGUACCGGGCUAAACAUAUUACCGAAGCUGUGGAUUGUCCUUGGACAAUGGUAGGAGAGCGUUCUAGGGCGUUGAAGCAUGAUCGCGACAUGUGGAGCGCUUAGAAGUGAGAAUGCCGGUGUGAGUAGCGAAAGACGGUGAGAAUCCCGUCCACCGAUUGACUAAGGUUUCCAGAGGAAGGCUCGUCCGCUCUGGGUUAGUCGGGUCCUAAGCUGAGGCCGACAGGCGUAGGCGAUGGAUAACAGGUUGAUAUUCCUGUACCACCAUUAUUCGUUUUUAAGCGAUGGGGAGAAGCAUGAUCGCAAGGACAUGUGGAGCGCUUAGAAGAGAAUGCUGUGUGAGUAGCGAAAGACGGGUGAGAAUCCCGUCCACCGAUUGACUAAGGUUUCCAGAGGAAGGCUCGUCCGCUCUGGGUUAGUCGGGUCCUGCUGAGGCCGACAGGCGUAGGCGAUGGAUAACAGGUUGAUAUUCCUGUACCACCAUUAUUCGUUUUAAGCGAUGGGGACGCAGGAUAGGCGAAGCGUGCUGUUGGAGUGCACGUCCAAGCAGUGAGAUUGAGUGUUAGCAAAUCCGGCACUCUUAAGAUUGAGCUGUGAUGGGGAGAGGAACUGUUUCGAGUCGUUGAUUUCACACUGCCGAGAAAAGCCUCUAGCUAGAAUAACGGUGCCCGUACCGCAAACCGACACAGGUAGUCAAGAUGAGAAUUUAAGGUGAGCGAGCGAACUCUCGUUAGGAACUCGGCAAAUGACCCCGUAACUCGGGAGAAGGUGCUCUUUGAGGUUCACGCUCGAAGAGCCGCAGUGAAUAGGCCCAAGCGACUGUUUAUCAAAACACAGGUCUCUGCUAAACCAGGUGACGUAUAGGGGCUGACGCCUGCCCGGUGCUGGAAGGUUAAGAGGAGUGGUUAGCGCAAGCGAAGCUACGAAUCGAAGCCCCAGUAAACGGCGGCCGUAACUAUAACGGUCCUAAGGUAGCGAAAUUCCUUGUCGGGUAAGUUCCGACCCGCACGAAAGGCGUAACGAUUUGGGCACUGUCUCAACGAGAGACUCGGUGAAAUCAUAGUACCGGUGAAGAUGCCGGUUACCCGCGACAGGACGGAAAGACCCCGUGGAGCUUUACUGUAGCCUGAUAUUGAAAUUCGGUACAGUUUGUACAGGAUAGGUAGGAGCCUUAGAAGCGUGAGCGCUAGCUUACGUGGAGGCAUUGGUGGGAUACUACCCUAAUUGUAUUGGAUUUCUAACCCGCAGCACUUAUCGUGCUGGGAGACAGUGUCAGGCGGGCAGUUUGACUGGGGCGGUCGCCUCCUAAAGAGUAACGGAGGCGCUCAAAGGUUCCCUCAGAAUGGUUGGAAAUCAUUCAUAGAGUGUAAAGGCAUAAGGGAGCUUGACUGCGAGACCUACAAGUCGAGCAGGGUCGAAAGACGGACUUAGUGAUCCGGUGGUUCCGCAUGGAAGGGCCAUCGCUCAACGGAUAAAAGCUACCCCGGGGAUAACAGGCUUAUCUCCCCCAAGAGUUCACAUCGACGGGGAGGUUUGGCACCUCGAUGUCGGCUCAUCGCAUCCUGGGGCUGUAGUCGGUCCCAAGGGUUGGGCUGUUCGCCCAUUAAAGCGGUACGCGAGCUGGGUUCAGAACGUCGUGAGACAGUUCGGUCCCUAUCCGUCGUGGGCGUAGGAAAUUUGAGAGGAGCUGUCCUUAGUACGAGAGGACCGGGAUGGACAUACCUCUGGUGUACCAGUUGUCGUGCCAACGGCAUAGCUGGGUAGCUAUGUAUGGACGGGAUAAGUGCUGAAAGCAUCUAAGCAUGAAGCCCCCCUCGAGAUGAGAUUUCCCAACUUCGGUUAUAAGAUCCCUCAAAGAUGAUGAGGUGAAUAGGUUCGAGGUGGAAGCGUAGCGAUACGUGGAGCUGACGAAUACUAAUCGAUCGAAGACUUAAUCAA